CACCAGCGCCUCGAGUGGGGAUCGCGAUUAUUGGGUCUAAAGCGUCCGUAGCAGGCUUUGUAAAUGCUUUGUGAAAUCGGCAGGCAUAACCUGUCGGCGUGCAGAGUAGACUGCAAUGCUAGAGACCGGGAGAGGUUGGCAGUAUUCCUUGGGUACCGGUAAAAUGGGUUAAUCCAAGGAGGACUACCUAUGGCGAAGGCAGCCAACCAGAACGGUUCUGACUGUGAGGGACGAAAGCUAGGGGAGCAAAACGG
rnacentral:rRNA from 1 species